rnacentral:rRNA from 1 species
UACGGAGGGUGCAAGCGUUGUUCGGAAUCACUGGGCGUAAAGGGCGUGUAGGCGGCCUGUUAAGUCUGAUGUGAAAUCCCCUCGCUCAACGAGGGAACUGCGUCGGAAACUGGCAGGCUUGAGUACCGGAGAGGAAGGUGGAAUUCCCGGUGUAGCGGUGAAAUGCGUAGAGUAUCGGGAGGAACACCGGUGGCGAAGGCGGCCUUCUGGACGGAUACUGGACGCUGAUACGCGAAAGCGUGGGGAGCAAACAGG